GAUGAACGCUGGCGGCGUGCCUAAUACAUGCAAGUCGAGCGAACAGACGAGGAGCUUGCUCCUUUGACGUUAGCGGCGGAUGGGUGAGUAACACGUAGGUAACCUACCUAUAAGACUGGGAUAACUUCGGGAAACCGGAGCUAAUACCGGAUAAUAUUUCGAACCGCAUGGUUCGAUAGUGAAAGAUGGCUUUGCUAUCACUUAUAGAUGGACCUGCGCCGUAUUAGCUAGUUGGUAAGGUAACGGCUUACCAAGGCAACGAUACGUAGCCGACCUGAGAGGGUGAUCGGCCACACUGGAACUGAGACACGGUCCAGACUCCUACGGGAGGCAGCAGUAGGGAAUCUUCCGCAAUGGGCGAAAGCCUGACGGAGCAACGCCGCGUGAGUGAUGAAGGUCUUCGGAUCGUAAAACUCUGUUAUUAGGGAAGAACAAACGUGUAAGUAACUGUGCACGUCUUGACGGUACCUAAUCAGAAAGCCACGGCUAACUACGUG
rnacentral:rRNA from 1 species